GACGAACGCUGGCGGCGUGCUUAACACAUGCAAGUCGAGCGGUAAGGCCCUUUCGGGGGUACGACGAGCGGCGAACGGGUGAGUAACACGUGGGUGGACCUGCCCUCCAGCUCUGGGAGUAAGCCUGGGAAACCGGGGUACGUAAUACUGGAUAUGACUCCAUGACGCAUGUUGUGGGGUGGGAAAGCCUUGUGCGGCUGAGGAUGGGCCCGGCGGCCUAUCAGCUUGUUGGUGGGGGGA
rnacentral:rRNA from 1 species